AAUGAGAGUUUGAUCCUGGCUCAGGACGAACGCUGGCGGCGUGCCUAAUACAUGCAAGUAGAACGCUGAAGAGAGGAGCUUGCUCUUCUUGGAUGAGUUGCGAACGGGUGAGUAACGCGUAGGUAACCUGCCUUGUAGCGGGGGAUAACUAUUGGAAACGAUAGCUAAUACCGCAUAACAAUGGAUGACCCAUGUCAUUUAUUUGAAAGGGGCAAAUGCUCCACUACAAGAUGGACCUGCGUUGUAUUAGCUAGUAGGUGAGGUAACGGCUCACCUAGGCGACGAUACAUAGCCGACCUGAGAGGGUGAUCGGCCACACUGGGACUGAGACACGGCCCAGACUCCUACGGGAGGCAGCAGUAGGGAAUCUUCGGCAAUGGGGGCAACCCUGACCGAGCAACGCCGCGUGAGUGAAGAAGGUUUUCGGAUCGUAAAGCUCUGUUGUAAGUCAAGAACGAGUGUGAGAGUGGAAAGUUCACACUGUGACGGUAGCUUACCAGAAAGGGACGGCUAACUACGUGCCAGCAGCCGCGGUAAUACGUAGGUCCCGAGCGUUGUCCGGAUUUAUUGGGCGUAAAGCGAGCGCAGGCGGUUUGAUAAGUCUGAAGUUAAAGGCUGUGGCUCAACCAUAGUUCGCUUUGGAAACUGUCAAACUUGAGUGCAGAAGGGGAGAGUGGAAUUCCAUGUGUAGCGGUGAAAUGCGUAGAUAUAUGGAGGAACACCGGUGGCGAAAGCGGCUCUCUGGUCUGUAACUGACGCUGAGGCUCGAAAGCGUGGGGAGCGAACAGGAUUAGAUACCCUGGUAGUCCACGCCGUAAACGAUGAGUGCUAGGUGUUGGAUCCUUUCCGGGAUUCAGUGCCGCAGCUAACGCAUUAAGCACUCCGCCUGGGGAGUACGACCGCAAGGUUGAAACUCAAAGGAAUUGACGGGGGCCCGCACAAGCGGUGGAGCAUGUGGUUUAAUUCGAAGCAACGCGAAGAACCUUACCAGGUCUUGACAUCCCGAUGCUAUUUCUAGAGAUAGAAAGUUACUUCGGUACAUCGGUGACAGGUGGUGCAUGGUUGUCGUCAGCUCGUGUCGUGAGAUGUUGGGUUAAGUCCCGCAACGAGCGCAACCCCUAUUGUUAGUUGCCAUCAUUCAGUUGGGCACUCUAGCGAGACUGCCGGUAAUAAACCGGAGGAAGGUGGGGAUGACGUCAAAUCAUCAUGCCCCUUAUGACCUGGGCUACACACGUGCUACAAUGGUUGGUACAACGAGUUGCGAGUCGGUGACGGCAAGCUAAUCUCUUAAAGCCAAUCUCAGUUCGGAUUGUAGGCUGCAACUCGCCUACAUGAAGUCGGAAUCGCUAGUAAUCGCGGAUCAGCACGCCGCGGUGAAUACGUUCCCGGGCCUUGUACACACCGCCCGUCACACCACGAGAGUUUGUAACACCCGAAGUCGGUGAGGUAACCUUUUGGAGCCAGCCGCCUAAGGUGGGAUAGAUGAUUGGGGUGAAGUCGUAACAAGGUAGCCGUAUCGGAAGGUGCGGCUGGAUCACCUCCUU
rnacentral:rRNA from 1 species